rnacentral:rRNA from 1 species
AUUGAACGCUGGCGGCAGGCUUAACACAUGCAAGUCGAGCGGGCGAGGUUGCUUCGGUAACUGAGCUAGCGGCGGACGGGUGAGUAAUGCUUAGGAAUCUGCCUAUUAGUGGGGGACAACAUUCCGAAAGGAAUGCUAAUACCGCAUACGCCCUACGGGGGAAAGCAGGGGAUCUUCGGACCUUGCGCUAAUAGAUGAGCCUAAGUCAGAUUAGCUAGUUGGUGGGUUAAAGGCCUACCAAGGCGACGAUCUGUAGCGGGUCUGAGAGGAUGAUCCGCCACACUGGGACUGAGACACGGCCCAGACUCCUACGGGAGGCAGCAGUGGGGAAUAUUGGACAAUGGGCGGAAGCCUGAUCCAGCCAUGCCGCGUGUGUGAAGAAGGCCUUUUGGUUGUAAAGCACUUUAAGCGAGGAGGAGGCUACUUGGAUUAAUACUCUAGGAUAGUGGACGUUACUCGCAGAAUAAGCACCGGCUAACUCUGUGCCAGCAGCCGCGGUAA